GCCUUCGUGGUGUAAUGGUCAGCACACUGAGCCGGUAUUUCAGAGGUCCGCGGUUCGAUUCCCGGCGAAGGCU
rfam:Stegodyphus mimosarum contig119318, whole genome shotgun sequence.